UACGUAGGGUGCGAGCGUUAAUCGGAAUUACUGGGCGUAAAGGGUGCGCAGGCGGUCUCGUAAGCUGGGUGUGAAAGCCCCGGGCUUAACCUGGGAAUGGCAUUCAGGACUGCGAGGCUUUGAGUGCGGCAGAGGGAGGUGGAAUUCCACGUGUAGCAGUGAAAUGCGUAGAGAUGUGGAGGAACACCGAUGGCGAAGGCGGGUCUCUGGGCCGAUACUGACGCUGAGGAGCGAAAGCGUGGGGAGCGAACAGG
rnacentral:rRNA from 1 species